rnacentral:rRNA from 1 species
GAUGAACGCUGGCGGUAUGCUUAACACAUGCAAGUCGAACGGACUCUUCGGAGUUAGUGGCGGACGGGUGAGUAACGCGUGAGAAUCUGGCUUUGGGUUCGGGACAACCACUGGAAACGGUGGCUAAUACCGGAUGUGCCGAGAGGUAAAAGAGAAAUUGCCUGAAGAUGAGCUCGCGUCUGAUUAGCUAGUUGGUGAGGUAAAGGCUCACCAAGGCAGCGAUCAGUAGCUGGUCUGAGAGGAUGACCAGCCACACUGGGACUGAGACACGGCCCAGACUACUACGGGAGGCAGCAGUGGGGAAUUUUCCGCAAUGGGCGAAAGCCUGACGGAGCAAUACCGCGUGAGGGAAGAAGGCUCUUGGGUUGUAAACCUCUUUACUUAGGGAAGAACAAAAUGACGGUACCUAAGGAAUCAGCAUCGGCUAACUCCGUG